AACGAACGCUGGCGGCAUGCCUAAUACAUGCAAGUCGAACGAGAUCUUCGGAUCUAGUGGCGCACGGGUGCGUAACGCGUGGGAAUCUGCCCUUGGGUUCGGAAUAACUUCGGGAAACUGAAGCUAAUACCGGAUGAUGACGUAAGUCCAAAGAUUUAUCGCCCAAGGAUGAGCCCGCGUAGGAUUAGCUAGUUGGUGGGGUAAAGGCCCACCAAGGCGACGAUCCUUAGCUGGUCUGAGAGGAUGAUCAGCCACACUGGGACUGAGACACGGCCCAGACUCCUACGGGAGGCAGCAGUAGGGAAUAUUGGACAAUGGGGGAAACCCUGAUCCGGCAAUGCCGCGUGAGCGAUGAAGGCCUUAGGGUUGUAAAGCUCGUUUACCCGAGAUGAUAAUGACAGUAUCGGGAGAAUAAGCCCCGGCUAACUCCGUGCCAGCCGCCGCUGUAA
rnacentral:rRNA from 1 species